rnacentral:miRNA from 3 species
AAGAACUGCGCUGGACAUCAGC